ACACGACUACAUUAGAUACCCCCGUAGUCCCAGCCGUAAACAAUGUGCGUUAGGUGUGUCGGUAACCACGUGUUACUGAUGCGCCGAAGAGAAAUCGUGAAACGCACCACCUGGGAAGUACGGUCGCAAGGCUGAAACUUAAAGGAAUUGGCGGGGAGCACCACAACAGGUGGAGCCUGCGGUUUAAUUGGAUUCAACGCCGGACAUCUCACCGGAUAAGACAGCUGAAUGAUUGUCAAUCUGAAGGUUUUACAUGACUAGCUG
rnacentral:rRNA from 1 species